rnacentral:rRNA from 1 species
AGCUCGAUGAGUAGGGCGGGACACGUGGUAUCCUGUCUGAAUAUGGGGGGACCAUCCUCCAAGGCUAAAUACUCCUGACUGACCGAUAGUGAACCAGUACCGUGAGGGAAAGGCGAAAAGAACCCCGGCGAGGGGAGUGAAAAAGAACCUGAAACCGUGUACGUACAAGCAGUGGGAGCCUCUUAAUGGGGUGACUGCGUACCUUUUGUAUAAUGGGUCAGCGACUUAUAUUCUGUAGCAAGGUUAACCGAAUAGGGGAGCCGAAGGGAAACCGAGUCUUAACUGGGCGUUAAGUUGCAGGGUAUAGACCCGAAACCCGGUGAUCUAGCCAUGGGCAGGUUGAAGGUUGGGUAACACUAACUGGAGGACCGAACCGACUAAUGUUGAAAAAUUAGCGGAUGACUUGUGGCUGGGGGUGAAAGGCCAAUCAAACCGGGAGAUAGCUGGUUCUCCCCGAAAGCUAUUUAGGUAGCGCCUCGUGAAUUCAUCUCCGGGGGUAGAGCACUGUUUCGGCAAGGGGGUCAUCCCGACUUACCAACCCGAUGCAAACUGCGAAUACCGGAGAAUGUUAUCACGGGAGACACACGGCGGGUGCUAACGUCCGUCGUGAAGAGGGAAACAACCCAGACCGCCAGCUAAGGUCCCAAAGUCAUGGUUAAGUGGGAAACGAUGUGGGAAGGCCCAGACAGCCAGGAUGUUGGCUUAGAAGCAGCCAUCAUUUAAAGAAAGCGUAAUAGCUCACUGGUCGAGUCGGCCUGCGCGGAAGAUGUAACGGGGCUAAACCAUGCACCGAAGCUGCGGCAGCGACACUAUGUGUUGUUGGGUAGGGGAGCGUUCUGUAAGCCUGUGAAGGUGUACUGUGAGGUAUGCUGGAGGUAUCAGAAGUGCGAAUGCUGACAUAAGUAACGAUAAAGCGGGUGAAAAGCCCGCUCGCCGGAAGACCAAGGGUUCCUGUCCAACGUUAAUCGGGGCAGGGUGAGUCGACCCCUAAGGCGAGGCCGAAAGGCGUAGUCGAUGGGAAACAGGUUAAUAUUCCUGUACUUGGUGUUACUGCGAAGGGGGGACGGAGAAGGCUAUGUUGGCCGGGCGACGGUUGUCCCGGUUUAAGCGUGUAGGCUGGUUUUCCAGGCAAAUCCGGAAAAUCAAGGCUGAGGCGUGAUGACGAGGCACUACGGUGCUGAAGCGACAAAUGCCCUGCUUCCAGGAAAAGCCUCUAAGCAUCAGGUAACAUCAAAUCGUACCCCAAACCGACACAGGUGGUCAGGUAGAGAAUACCAAGGCGCUUGAGAGAACUCGGGUGAAGGAACUAGGCAAAAUGGUGCCGUAACUUCGGGAGAAGGCACGCUGAUAUGUAGGUGAAGCGACUUGCUCGUGGAGCUGAAAUCAGUCGAAGAUACCAGCUGGCUGCAACUGUUUAUUAAAAACACAGCACUGUGCAAACACGAAAGUGGACGUAUACGGUGUGACGCCUGCCCGGUGCCGGAAGGUUAAUUGAUGGGGUUAGCGGUAACGCGAAGCUCUUGAUCGAAGCCCCGGUAAACGGCGGCCGUAACUAUAACGGUCCUAAGGUAGCGAAAUUCCUUGUCGGGUAAGUUCCGACCUGCACGAAUGGCGUAAUGAUGGCCAGGCUGUCUCCACCCGAGACUCAGUGAAAUUGAACUCGCUGUGAAGAUGCAGUGUACCCGCGGCAAGACGGAAAGACCCCGUGAACCUUUACUAUAGCUUGACACUGAACAUUGAGCCUUGAUGUGUAGGAUAGGUGGGAGGCUUUGAAGUGUGGACGCCAGUCUGCAUGGAGCCGACCUUGAAAUACCACCCUUUAAUGUUUGAUGUUCUAACGUGGGCCCCUUACCGGGGUUGCGGACAGUGUCUGGUGGGUAGUUUGACUGGGGCGGUCUCCUCCUAAAGAGUAACGGAGGAGCACGAAGGUUGGCUAAUCCUGGUCGGACAUCAGGAGGUUAGUGCAAUGGCAUAAGCCAGCUUGACUGCGAGCGUGACGGCGCGAGCAGGUGCGAAAGCAGGUCAUAGUGAUCCGGUGGUUCUGAAUGGAAGGGCCAUCGCUCAACGGAUAAAAGGUACUCCGGGGAUAACAGGCUGAUACCGCCCAAGAGUUCAUAUCGACGGCGGUGUUUGGCACCUCGAUGUCGGCUCAUCACAUCCUGGGGCUGAAGUAGGUCCCAAGGGUAUGGCUGUUCGCCAUUUAAAGUGGUACGCGAGCUGGGUUUAGAACGUCGUGAGACAGUUCGGUCCCUAUCUGCCGUGGGCGCUGGAGAACUGAGGGGGGCUGCUCCUAGUACGAGAGGACCGGAGUGGACGCAUCACUGGUGUUCGGGUUGUCAUGCCAAUGGCACUGCCCGGUAGCUAAAUGCGGAAGAGAUAAGUGCUGAAAGCAUCUAAGCACGAAACUUGCCCCGAGAUGAGUUCUCCCUGACUCCUUGAGAGUCCUGAAGGAACGUUGAAGACGACGACGUUGAUAGGCCGGGUGUGUAAGCGCAGCGAUGCGUUGAGCUAACCGGUACUAAUGAACCGUGAGGCUUAACCUUACAACGCCGAAG